CUGUGUUUUGUAGAAGCGUCAUGUAUAAGAGGACACUAGAUGAGGUUUGACAAGAUACAUGAGUGGUUUAUUGUAAGUUUAGAAAGUCUGGUGAGAUGGUGACGAUUCGUUUUAGUACAUUUAGUUGUCAUGCAGCUCUCUAUAUAUGCUGAAUCCAUUUAGCUUGAAGGCCAGAUAUUGAGCGUGUUUUUUUUAUCCAUGGCAAUUGUCUGGAAUUUAUCUGUGUUUGCCUGAAUUUUGUUGAAAGAGAACAACGAUAUUAGGAAGUGACUAUUUUCCCCUAAGGGUUUAAUUACUGACUCCACAGUAGUACCAGAUUGAGAGAGGCUGUUAGAAUCAGCAUAGCUAUAUAACUCAUUGACAGCAAGAAAGACGACGGAAAAUGUACCAGAGAGUCAAACUCAUAAAGCGAAAAUAAACUGACAACGCCAUGGCUAAAAAUGAAAAAGACAAACAGACAAACCAUGCAGUACACAUGACACAACAUAUAAAACUAAAGAAUAAGCAACACGAACUUCUCACCAAAACUUGGGGUGACCUCAGUGUUCCAGAAGGGUUAGAAGAUGCUGCUCCACACCGUGAACACCAGUCUUGUUGCUCAUGUUAUAACAAAUCCGAUAAAUAGUCUAAUUCCGUAGGUCACAUUCAUGAAAGGGAAGGAGAAAGAUGUCAUUUAUAAAUACGUUAAACAGGAGGUAAGUUGAAUUCCUGAUGAACACCUUUGUAAUUAUCUUGCAUUUGGCUGAUACUGAUAUAUUUUUACGCAACGUAUUAUCAUCGAAAGAUAACUUUUUAGCAAUUCAAGAGCAGAGGGGCUGAAAGGUUAUUUUUUUUUUCAAUUUACAAAGAAGAAUAUAAUGUUAAGGACAGUCAAAAGCUUUACUGAGAGCCAUCAAUAUUGCUACUACUACUAAGUGUUAACUAUCAUCCCGUGCUUUUUCCCAUCUUCCAACCUGAGCAUCACUGAUGAUUCUCAUGCAGAAGAAACACGCGUUAGACGUAUUAAAUUAUUAUCCUGGUACCUAUGAUAACUAUUAGCAUGUCGAACUUUUCCAUUGUACUUGUAUAUUUCUCUGUCCUGAAUGUUCUUUAUUUGUACCGUAGUCCUGUCAUGUAAUUUUGUCGUUUUAUUAUCAUGUUUUAACAUUGCUAUAAAAGCACAAGGUUUGGCUAGAAGCAAAACCAGAUUUAACCCAAUAUUUUGUUGUCGAACCUGCGACUUUUGUCGCAGAAAGCUUGACAAAGUGAUAGUGAUCUGGCGGUGGCGUGAGCUAACUUCUUAAAAUGUUUGUAUUUUAGAAGGUGAAAGAUUUGGAUGCUUCAUAUUUUGUAUACAGAUUUGUUUUGUUACGAAGUUUUCGUCUGUCACAUGACCAUUGUAAUUGACCUCAUUUUCAUGGUUCAGUGAUUACUUGAAAAAAAAGUAAAGAAUUUUCGUAAUAUUAAUUACUCUUUUAAUAUGAGUAAUAGGAUAAUUUUAUUUGGUAGUAGCAUACCUAGUAAGGUCCUCAUACGCGUCAGAUAGUUUUCACUUGACCUCAAGCUAUAAGCAAUAGGUCUAGUAUAUUCGGUGUAUAUAAGGACUGUAAUGUGUACAUGUCUAACUGGAAGGUGUCAUCUGUCCUUGUCCUUAUUUUCAUGGUUUAGAUGUUAAAGUUAAGUUUUUUGUGUUUUGGUCUGUUUUUCUUAUACUGUAUGCAAAAGGUCUACUAUAUUUGGCGUCUGGAAUGAUUGUAAGGUAUACAUCUCUAACGGGCAGGUGCCUUCUGACCUUGAAUUCAUUUUCAUGUGCAGUGGUCAAGUUAAGUUUUUAAGUUUGGUCUUUUUUUCUAAAACUAUAUGCAAUAGAUCAACUAUAUUUGUUGUAUUGACAUAUUUUAUGAUGUACACGCCAGUCACGCACCUUUAAUUUGACCUUGAUCUCAUUUUCAAGGAUCAUUGGUCAGUGUUAAGUUUUUGUGUUUUGCCUGUUUCUCUUCAACUAUAAGCAAUAGGUCACAUAUAUUUGUUAUACUAGAACACACCCGUGAUAUCGCGGGUCCGUGACUGAAUUAAAGUAUAUAACUAUGCGCAAGCCUUAUUUUAGUAUUAGUACUGUCAUCUGAUAAAGUUAUGCCGAUUAUAAGAUACACAAUGUUCUCUGCUUUCAAAUCUUUCUGUUUGAACCCGUCGAACUGGAACUUAUCAAUUAUUGGUAUAUUAAUUAUUUGAAACAAAAGGUCCUGGAAGAGUAUUUUUUUAAUCAACAGCAUUGUCCUAUAUUAGUUAUAAAAUAAAGUUGAAUUCUUUGAUUCGCUGUUUAUGUCAUGCCGCUAACAAAUUGAAACUUAUUUUAGUCCAGAUUUUUUAGUAUUCGUAUUGUUAUCUUAGAAAUUCUUACGGAUUAAAAUACUACAAUAGGUAACAAUUUGAUAAUUUAGUAGUGUUAACCCUGUGAUUAUGACCCGCGUAUAUAGCAUAUUAAUCUGAAUACACGUUUGGUGUGCGCCUGUCAAAUGCGAACGUACAGAUAAGGUAAUAGGUAACAGGUGAUUAUACUAUGGUAUCGAUCGGACUCGACCUGAACUUCCUAAUUAUUGGCAAUAUUAAUUACGUGGAAAACAAAAGGGCCUGGAGUGGUGUAAUUUUUAAUCUACACCUUUGUGCUAUACAAGUUCUAUAUAAAGUUGAAUUCUUUGAUUUGUCGCUUUUACGUGAUGACGGCUGACAAAUUGGACCUCGUGAUUUUAGUAUUAUAGAUGGACUGAUUGUAAAAGAGGGACGAAAGAUACCAGAGGGACAAUCAAACUCAUAAAUCGCAAAUAAACUGACAACCCCAUGGCUAAACAUGAAAAAGACAAACAGACAAGCAAUAGAACACAUGACACAACAUAGAAAACUAAUGAAUAAGCAACACAAACCCCACUAAAAACAAGGGAUGAUAUCAAGUGCUCCGGAAGGGUAAGCAGAUCCUGUUGUAAGCUGUAUAUGUCUGUCUGACAUGAUUCCUCUGACCUCAUUUUCAUGGUUCGUUGGUCAAUAUUUAGUUUUCUUGGUUAAGACUGUUUCUUAGAAACUAUAGACAAUAGGUCAACUAUAUCUAGUAAUUGAAUAAUUGUAAGGUGUACAUAUAAAAUUGAGAAUGGAAAUGGGGAAUGUGUCAAAGAGACAACAACCCGCCCAAAUAAAAAACAACAGCAGAGGGUCACCACAGUCUUCAAGUAGCGAGAAAUUCCCGCACCCGGAGGCGUCCUUCAGCUGGCCCCUAAACAAAUAUAUACUAGUCCAGUGAUAAUGAACGCCAUACUAAUUUCCAAAUUGUACACAAGAAACUAAAUUUAAAUAAUACAAGACUAACAAAGGCCAGAGGCUCCUGACUUGGGACAGGCGCAAAAAUGCGGCGGGGUGAAACAUGUUUGUGAGAUCUCAACCCUCGGCGGGGUUAAACAUGUUUGUGAGAUCUCAACCCUCCCCCUAUACCUCUAACCAAUGUAUUUAUUGUUAAGUUUAUAUGACCCUUAUCUCAUUUUUUUAUCAAGUUAAGUUUAUAUGAUAGUUGUAGUAAAGCGUAUACUUAGGACUAUUAACAUACUAUCAAUGAUUAGUAAAGAAAGAGAGACAUUUCAGCGUGUGCACGUUUGUCUUAGGCAUGUACCAAGUCAGGUGAAAUGGCAGUUGUUAUUUUAUAGUUUGUUUCUGUGUACGUUGCAUUGUUGUUUUGUUUUUGAUGCAUUUCUGUAUUGUUGUUGUUUCGUUGUUUUCCUCCUAUAGUUUAAGUGGUUCCCUCAGUUUUAGUUUGUAACCCGGAUGUGUUUUCUUUUAAUCGAUUUAAUUCUUUCGUGUUGGUAAGUCUUUAGUUGUCUAUGUUGUGCAUUCUGUACUAUUAUUUGUAUGUUUGUCUUUUUUAUUUUAGCCAUGUAUUCGUCAGUUUAAUUAUUUUUAAUCUGUGAGUUUGACUUUCCCUCUGGUAUCUUUCGCCCCUCUUUUCGAACAGCGGUAAACUAUUGUUGCCUAAGAAAUAUUGACUGACAGCCAAAGCCCGAUCGAAAUGCCCGAAUGAGCCAUUUAUUUUGUCAUUUGAUUAGGGACUUUCUGUUUUUUAAUUUUCAUUGGAGUUCAGUAUUUUUGUGAUUUUAGUUUUUUUUCUAUACUUGGGUGUUUUUUAUUCACUUAUAUGUUGUUGUCACCGAUGGUUUUUUUUUGCAACAUAUACAAAACAAUUAUUUUUUUUUUAGAUAUUUCUUGUUUGUUUGUGAUGAUUUUAUUAACUUCCUGUGGUAUAUGGUUUCUUUUUGGAUGGUGCAUCCUUUGAAUAUUAAGAAUGGCGUUUCUGUUGAUGUUCCCUCUUUUGGGUUGUUUCAUCAUAUAGUGUUUCACUAAUUCCUGUUUAAACUUGCUGUACGGAGUGUGUUCUCUCCUUUGUUUAAGACUGUAUGGGUACUGGUUAUCAUUGACAUCUUUGUUCUUUGUUUUUUUUUUCUCUCGGAAAUUUAUCACAUCGUCAAUCCUAACACCGGGCAUAUCCAUAUACUUACAAGGAGGGACGAUGUAUAUAUUAGUACAUUUAAAAACGUUAGUACGGACAAUCCUUUUCAUCGAAUAUACUAUGUAAAGUAUGUAAAUGUAUGUAAAGGCGAUAAUUGAAGUAUUAUUUGUUUAAGGAUAAAAAUCGGUCAAGGUCUAGUAUAACAUUAUAUGCGAUAUGGAUUUUGCUCAAGAUGUAGGCCGUACGGUGACAAAUAUAUCUGAUAUGUAUUUCAUUUGAUAGUCUAGACUUGUAUUGUUUGUUUGUCUGAGUCAUUAUAUAAAAUGUAAUAUAAAUUUCACUGAAAUUUGUUAUGUCUUCCGCAUGGUCGGCUUGACUAUUAUAUCAAGGUUGAAUUGUGUAGGUCUCUACCAAACAUAACAUAUGCAGCGUAAUUGUUUAUAUUAGGCUUUUAUAGAAAAAUAGAAUAGUUUCAAAUUCAAACAAAAGCGAAAAAAAAAUCGGUCAGAAUUUUUUUCCAGCAAAGUAUAUAACCAAGGUAAAGUAGUUUACCUUCUCCACACAUACUUCGACAGAGAAGAUUGAAGGAACGAUCUGAAAACAGUCUUUAAUUUGUAAGUGUUUGUUAAUUUUAUAUUAUUUUUACCUGGCUUUAUAACUUAUAUAUUAUUUUAUAUAUAUUUUAGAUCUGCCAUGCUACACCAACUUAAUCAGACUGAUCUUUUUGUUUACUAGAUAACACUUUGAAUAUCUUAAAUUCUAAGGUUUUUGUACCUUAGCUGUAUUUAGCAUCACUUUUGGGAAUUUUUGGUUCUCGAUGAUCUUCAAAUUCGUACUCUACUUGGCAUUUUUAACAGUUUUCGAUUCAAGCGUCACUGGUGAGUCUUUUGUAGGAGAAACGCGCGUCUGACGCAAAUUCAAAAUUGAAAUCAUGAUAUCUAUUUCUUCAUAUGCAUGGAUAUUUAGAAUAUUUUGGACUCUUAAUAAUUUAUCACAUGUCUUAAUGUCUAUCUUCUUAGAUAAAUCAACUGGACCUUAUAUACACAAAUCGUCGUAUGAUUCUGAUAAUGGUCUAUGUCGAUGCUUGCUAAAAAUGAAGAUAUUUUUAUAUUUGAGAUCCAAAUUGUACAACGAUAACAUGAAAUUUCUACAUUCUACGACUUUAUGUUAGAACUAUACGAGUUGGACAUUGGACGUUCAGUAAACAAUAAUUUUAGUAUGUUUUAUUUUCAGAUGUCACUACUAUAAAAACAAUUGCUAUCAAAAUUAUCUCAGUACUAGAAUGAUCUUACCUCAAUCGUUGAGUCAUAUUCAGCCAAUCCAGCACUGGUUUUUUGCGCUUUGGUCGGGUUGUUAUCUCUGGGACACAUUUUCAUUCUCAAUUUCAUUACAUAAUUUGGAAUAACUCAGAAUUAAACAAAACCAUGGAUAAAAAUUGAAAAUAUCAUUGAAUGAGGUUAAGAAAAAAAGAUAUGUAGAAACUUUAUAUUCAUUUGGUUCCUGAAUAAAACAAAACAAUUUUGAUAAAUUUUCUGUGGAUAGAACACUACAAUAUACAAUAUGUACAAUUUUAUAACAUUUAGAAACAUAGGAUUUACAUAACUAGAACUUUCACCCGACUCAUUUUCACAAGGAUAUUUGCAUUUACAUGGAAACUAAAAUACUGAACAUAUUCAUGCAGGCAAUAGCGAGAAAAAAUAUGUAUAAUGAGAGACAGUGUUAUGUUGAAACGUUUAAUAUGAAUGUGACCUACCGAAUUAGACUAUUUACCGGAUUUGUAAUCACAUAAGCAACACGACGGGUGCCACAUGUGGAGCAGGAUCUGCUUACCCUUCCGGAGCACCUGAGAUCACCCCUAGUUUUUGGUGGGGUUCGUGGGGUUUAUUCUUUAGUUUUCUAUGUUGUGUCAUGUGUAGUUAUUGUUUUUCUGUUUGUCUUUUUCAUUUUUAGCCAUGGCGUUGUCAGUUUGUUUUAGAUUUAAGAGUUUGACUGUCCCUUUGGUAUCUUUUUUCCCUCUUUUAAUAGAUAUAAUGAAAAUUACGUGAAGUUAUCAAGAAUAUCAAUUGUGAAAAAUUAAACAGAUAUGUUUUUAUUUUCAUAAUUUUACUACAGAAUAAAGUGCAAUUCUUAUGACUUUUUUACUACUAUAACUGCACUUACACUGUGAAUAAGAAACGAUUUGGCAUUUUUAUUUGCUCUAAACAUCUGUAUGACUAUUUGACUGAGUUUCAAAUUUAUCACCCAUUCAGUCUGGUUUUAAACAUAAUCCUUCAUUUCAAAUUGCCCGCAUUAAUAUCGUUUAUAGAUGACUACACGAAAUGAAUAAUGAAAAUAUCGAUAUGGCAGUUCUCCUGGAUUAUAUAAAAAGUAUUUGAUUUGUUGCUUGUGAAGUUUUAAAUAAAAGAAAUCCAUCAAAUUCAUGGUUUCCAUGACAGUACGGUUUAUUUUUUUUAAAAUCACAUUUGACAAAAACCCACACAAAGUCCAUACAAGUCAUAUAAGUAAUAAAUAUUCUGAUAACAUAUUUCUCAGGGCUCAAUCAUUGGUCCUAUUUUAUUUAUUUUGCACAUAAAUUACCUUCCAUUAUAUAUAUUCAUAAAAAAGUGAAAUACAGACGUGUAUGCUGAUGACACAACUAUGCAUACAUGAGGAAAGAGUAUUGCAGAUAUGCAGAUACAAGUACAUGAUGAACUCUAAUAUGUUGAAAAAUUAUGCAUGAAAUAACAUAUUCAUAAAUUCGCGUAAAAUUAAAUGUAUGGUUAUCGUUACAAGACAAAGGCUGAGUUUUCAUCAAGCAAAACCAUUUCUUACUUUUCAGAAUAAUAUUCUCCAAAAAUCAAAUGUGUUGACUCUUAUCUGCCAUAUUAUUUUUUAUGUUCAUCAAUAUCAUCAAGAAUUCAUUUUCUUUCUGAAAUCAAGACAUUUCCAAAAUAUUGAUCCAAGAAAAUUAUUUUUAUAAUGGUUAUAAUCUCCCACUGAUAGAUUAUUGUUGUAUUAUUUGGAGUAGUUUUGCUAACAUGAGCUAGCAAUACUGAUAAAAUUGAUAAAAAGUGCACCAAGAAUAAUUUUAUAUAUGCUGAGGGGGAUGGGCUUUAGGCAAGCUUUGGUUCCCUCUUUCACUUACAGAAGUAAUAUUUUAUAUAAAGUACUUAAAGAAAUAUAAUUAUAUUUAAAUACAAUUACCCUAAAAAUUAUAUAGCUACAUUCAUGAAUGUGUAUUAUGUAUUCUUAUUAUUGGCUGUUCCAGUGUUACACACAUAUUUUAUGGUAAAUGCACUGUGAAUAUAGUAUCAUUGGUGAUGUUUUGAAAACAAUGAAAUACCUGUAUAGCAAUUUAGUUGAUAUUUGAUAACUAUAUGUUCAUUAGAAAAAUGUCAUGUACAGAGCACAAAUACUAAUGUGACGUAACGUUCAUGUUUAACAGAGUUUUUGGACGUAAUAUCUACAUAAGCCUGAAAAUGUCAUGGCGGGUCACACAUCUCUUUAGUACCUGUUUAGAUUGAAAAUCACCCUAACAUCAUAUAUAAAGUCACAAAAAAAUUUCUACGCUUUAAACAGAAAAUUUACAAUUUUUUUUUACAGUGUCUGAACCAGAGCAGGAUCAUUUAAAAAGAGAGCAAUUUAAUAUAUUUGAAUGUGAUUUUAACUACAGCACCAAACUAUUUUUUUUUUUCAUGUUCAAAUUUGAUCGUUAAGAUGAAGGUUAUAUAAUCAGAAAUUCUAACGCAGAAAAUUUUAUCAUACAUUAUAAUACAUUGUAUAUCCUUUAGGUGAGCAAAUCCUCUGCAAGAUGAAAGUAGUCAAGAUCCUGUGUGCAAUGUUGAUGAUGGUUAUAUCAGUUUUAGCAGGAACAGCUAGUGGACAUCAACAACCAGGUCUACCACAACCAGGACGACUUGAAUUUAACAGAGUAAAACGAGAUGCUAAUGACAACACUUUUGAUAGAAUCGUAACGUAACUGAUAAUUACAAAAAACAAAAUAUAAUUCAUUGUACUGAGUUUUAAAUUACUACUGCUACUACUAUUACUUCAAUAAUAAUAAUAAAAAAAUAAUAAUAAUAAUAAUAAUAAUAAUAAUAAUAAUAAUAAUAAUAAUAAUAAUAAUAAUAAUAAUAAUAAUAAUAAUAAAAAUAAUUCAUGAUAAUAUUAAUAAUAAUUUGUAUUUUCAGGUGAAUAAAGAUUAGAUGGUCUGUGGUACCACGUGCACUAACUGGAUCUUUCAUCAUUUAAUAAUAGAGGCUUAUUUAAAUGGAUUUAUCGUUGAUCUAUAUAUUUGUUUUUAUUUCAUCUUUAGUGAUACCUUUUUUGUUUUAACAUUCUAGUGGCAAAUUGUUUCUUGAAAAAUAAGGUUGUAAAUUGAUUUGCUGCAACUCAUAUAAAUAUCAAACAACAAUGGUGUCACAUGUGGAGCAUGAUUUGUUUACCCUUCAAGGUUAGAUUUUUUUCCUAAAAUAAUAUCUUUAUUGCACUUUUCUUUGCUGUUUUCACAAAUUACUCGACCUACAGCAGUUGCGAGAUCACUCCAAGUUUUUAAUGCGGUUCCUGUUGCUCAUUCUU
rnacentral:lncRNA from 1 species